AACCCAGCAGGACAGUAUUCACUCAAUCUCACAGCUCAAAAAUCAUCAAGAGAACUCACUGUCAUGCGGACAGCAUUAAGGAGACAGUGUUUACCCAUUUGUGAAGAAUCUGUCCCCCCGCCCUCAUCUUUCACGCCCACAAAAUAAUCUCUCCCACUCUCCCCACACCACUACCUCCAACACCCACUCUUCUCCAUGAUUAAAUCACCUCCCACCAGUCCCACCUUUAACAUUGCCCACUACAAUUCCACAUGGAUAUUGGUAGAGACACAGAAUCAAAUCAUAUUAUUCUGGCUCUUGCUCCCCAAAUCUUAUAUCCUUGUCAUGCUGCAAAAUACAAUGAUGACUUCUCUACUGUCCCCCAAUGACUUAACUCAUUCCAGCAUUUACUGAAAUGUCCAAGGACUUACAGACCCCAUACAUGUCAAAAACCCAGCAGGCCAGUCAUUGAAUCCUACAGUUGCAAAUCAUCUUUUCCGAAUGGACAUCUCUCAUCCAGAUCACAGGUGUGUCAUGG
rnacentral:lncRNA from 1 species